rnacentral:rRNA from 1 species
UACAGAGGGGGCAAGCGUUGUUCGGAAUUACUGGGCGUAAAGGGCGCGUAGGCGCCUUCUAAGUCGAACGUGAAAUCCCCGGGCUCAACCCGGGAACUGCGUCCGAUACUGGAAGGCUUGAAUCCGGGAGAGGGAUGCGGAAUUCCAGGUGUAGCGGUCGAAAUGCGUAGAUAUUGUCAAGAACACCAAUUGCGAAGGCAGCUUACUAAAGUAUAACUGACGCUGAGGCACGAAAGUGCGGGGAUCAAACAGG